GCACCUCUAGCUCAAUUGGUAGAGCAUCGGACUCUUAAUCCGCAGGUUCUGGGUUCGAGUCCCAGGGGGUGUACCA
rnacentral:tRNA from 1 species